GUGGGGAAUAUUCCGCAAUGGACGAAAGUCUGACGGAGCAACGCCGCGUGAGUGAUGAAGGUUUUCGGACUGUAAAGCUCUGUUGUUUAGGACGAAAGUGCCUGUUGCAAAUAGUUACAGGUAUUGACGGUACUGAACGAGGAAGCCACGGCUAACUACGUGCCAGCAGCCGCGGUAAUACGUAGGUGGCAAGCGUUGUCCGGAAUUAUUGGGCGUAAAGAGCAUGUAGGCGGGAAUCUAAGUCUGUUGUGAAAAUGCGGGGCUCAACCCCGUAUUGCGAUGGAAACUGGGUUUCUUGAGUGCAGGAGAGGAAAGGGGAAUUCCCAGUGUAGCGGUGAAAUGCGUAGAUAUUGGGAGGAACACCAGUGGCGAAGGCGGCUUUCUGGACGGUGUCUGACACUGAGGCGCGAAAGCCAGGGGAGCGAACGGGAUUAGAAACCCCAGUAGUCC
rnacentral:rRNA from 1 species